AUUUAGAAAGAAAGAAGUUUAAUAUAUAUAUAUAUAUUAAAUAAAUAUCUAAAUUUAAGUAUAUCAUUUACAAUGAUAAGAUGUUUUUUAACUUUAUUUAAA
rnacentral:tRNA from 1 species